rnacentral:rRNA from 1 species
GACGAACGCUGGCGGCGUGCUUAACACAUGCAAGUCGAACGGAAAGGCCCUGCUUUUGUGGGGUGCUCGAGUGGCGAACGGGUGAGUAACACGUGAGUAACCUGCCCUUGACUUUGGGAUAACUUCAGGAAACUGGGGCUAAUACCGGAUAGGAGCUCCUGCUGCAUGGUGUGGGUUGGAAAGUUUCGGCGGUUGGGGAUGGACUCGCGGCUUAUCAGCUUGUUUGUGGGGUAGUGGCUUACCAAGGCUUUGACGGGUAGCCGGCCUGAGAGGGUGACCGGCCACAUUGGGACUGAGAUACGGCCCAGACUCCUACGGGAGGCAGCAGUGGGGAAUAUUGCACAAUGGGCGGAAGCCUGAUGCAGCAACGCCGCGUGCGGGAUGACGGCCUUCGGGUUGUAAACCGCUUUCGCCUGUGACGAAGCGUGAGUGACGGUAAUGGGUAAAGAAGCACCGGCUAACUACGUG